rnacentral:rRNA from 1 species
UUGGUGUGAAUUGCAGAAUCCCGUGAACCAUCGAGUCUUUGAACGCAAGUUGCGCCCGAAGCCAUUAGGUCGAGGGCACGCCUGCCUGGGCGUCACGC